rnacentral:rRNA from 2 species
AACACUGAAUGGAGGACCGAACCGACUUACGUUGAAAAGUGAGCGGAUGAACUGAGGGUAGCGGAGAAAUUCCAAUCGAACCUGGAGAUAGCUGGUUCUCUCCGAAAUAGCUUUAGGGCUAGCCUCAAGUGAUGAUUAUUGGAGGUAGAGCACUGUUUGGACGAGGGGCCCCUCUCGGGUUACCGAAUUCAGACAAACUCCGAAUGCCAAUUAAUUUAACUUGGGAGUCAGAACAUGGGUGAUAAGGUCCGUGUUCGAAAGGGAAACAGCCCAGACCACCAGCUAAGGUCCCAAAAUAUAUGUUAAGUGGAAAAGGAUGUGGCGUUGCCCAGACAACUAGGAUGUUGGCUUAGAAGCAGCCAUCAUUUAAAGAGUGCGUAAUAGCUCACUAGUCGAGUGACACUGCGCCGAAAAUGUACCGGGGCUAAACAUAUUACCGAAGCUGUGGAUUGUCCUUUGGACAAUGGUAGGAGAGCGUUCUAAGGGCGUUGAAGCAUGAUCGUAAGGACAUGUGGAGCGCUUAGAAGUGAGAAUGCCGGUGUGAGUAGCGAAAGACGGGUGAGAAUCCCGUCCACCGAUUGACUAAGGUUUCCAGAGGAAGGCUCGUCCGCUCUGGGUUAGUCGGGUCCUAAGCUGAGGCCGACAGGCGUAGGCGAUGGAUAACAGGUUGAUAUUCCUGUACCACCUAUAAUCGUUUUAAUCGAUGGGGGGACGCAGUAGGAUAGGCGAAGCGUGCGAUUGGAUUGCACGUCUAAGCAGUAAGGCUGAGUAUUAGGCAAAUCCGGUACUCAUUAAGGCUGAGCUGUGAUGGGGAGAAGACAUUGUGUCUUCGAGUCGUUGAUUUCACACUGCCGAGAAAAGCCUCUAGAUAGAAAAUAGGUGCCCGUACCGCAAACCGACACAGGUAGUCAAGAUGAGAAUUCUAAGGUGAGCGAGCGAACUCUCGUUAAGGAACUCGGCAAAAUGACCCCGUAACUUCGGGAGAAGGGGUGCUCUUUAGGGUUAACGCCCAGAAGAGCCGCAGUGAAUAGGCCCAAGCGACUGUUUAUCAAAAACACAGGUCUCUGCUAAACCGUAAGGUGAUGUAUAGGGGCUGACGCCUGCCCGGUGCUGGAAGGUUAAGAGGAGUGGUUAGCUUCUGCGAAGCUACGAAUCGAAGCCCCAGUAAACGGCGGCCGUAACUAUAACGGUCCUAAGGUAGCGAAAUUCCUUGUCGGGUAAGUUCCGACCCGCACGAAAGGCGUAACGAUUUGGGCACUGUCUCAACGAGAGACUCGGUGAAAUCAUAGUACCUGUGAAGAUGCAGGUUACCCGCGACAGGACGGAAAGACCCCGUGGAGCUUUACUGUAGCCUGAUAUUGAAAUUCGGCACAGCUUGUACAGGAUAGGUAGGAGCCUUUGAAACGUGAGCGCUAGCUUACGUGGAGGCGCUGGUGGGAUACUACCCUAGCUGUGUUGGCUUUCUAACCCGCACCACUUAUCGUGGUGGGAGACAGUGUCAGGCGGGCAGUUUGACUGGGGCGGUCGCCUCCUAAAAGGUAACGGAGGCGCUCAAAGGUUCCCUCAGAAUGGUUGGAAAUCAUUCAUAGAGUGUAAAGGCAUAAGGGAGCUUGACUGCGAGACCUACAAGUCGAGCAGGGUCGAAAGACGGACUUAGUGAUCCGGUGGUUCCGCAUGGAAGGGCCAUCGCUCAACGGAUAAAAGCUACCCCGGGGAUAACAGGCUUAUCUCCCCCAAGAGUUCACAUCGACGGGGAGGUUUGGCACCUCGAUGUCGGCUCAUCGCAUCCUGGGGCUGUAGUCGGUCCCAAGGGUUGGGCUGUUCGCCCAUUAAAGCGGUACGCGAGCUGGGUUCAGAACGUCGUGAGACAGUUCGGUCCCUAUCCGUCGUGGGCGUAGGAAAUUUGAGAGGAGCUGUCCUUAGUACGAGAGGACCGGGAUGGACAUACCUCUGGUGUACCAGUUGUCGUGCCAACGGCAUAGCUGGGUAGCUAUGUGUGGACGGGAUAAGUGCUGAAAGCAUCUAAGCAUGAAGCCCCCCUCAAGAUGAGAUUUCCCAACUUCGGUUAUAAGAUCCCUCAAAGAUGAUGAGGUUAAUAGGUUCGAGGUGGAAGCAUGGUGACAUGUGGAGCUGACGAAUACUAAUCGAUCGAAGACUUAAUCAA